ensembl:lncRNA
ACGGUCCCUUACUGACAGCGCGGAUGACCUGCGCUCCCCCAAAGCCCGGUUCCGGGCUUUAACGGGAGGAAAAACUAAAUAUAUUCAGGUGUAUUGGUUCUAUUUCCUCUUAAUACACAUUAAGACCAUACACAUUAUGUCCUUUUUGUGUGUUUUAUUUCUUGAGAAAUAGAGAGAAGCUCGAGUGUACAGUCAACGUGCGAUAUAAACGGGGCGCACGCGGUUCGCAAAACUGAGGGAAUGGAUUGCACAUUACAUUUGUGUAAUUCUACACAUUAAAUUCAUGGACUAUUUUUUCCAUACCCGUUACAUCAGCUCGCUGUGAGUAGCGAGUGUGAACGCCAGUCUUUGUUGACACAAUGUUUAAUAAACAGUGACUCAGCAAACAGGCCAGCAGCCUCAUCUUCAAUCUGUGGUCCUUCUUUCACAAUCACCGACAGAAUCUAAAAAUAUGUAGGUGGCAACGCGGUCAACAGUGGGAAAUGUUAUUGUACCGCGGUCAACAGAUUAUUGUCGAAUCCUUGACGGCUCAACACUCCAGCCAACUCGACAAACGUUUGUGAGGGUGGCGAAUGAGCUAUUCCAAGACGGGACAUUUAACUGGGGCAGAGUGGUCGCGCUGUUCUACGUGGCUGUUCGACUUGUGAUCAAGGCAAGGAUGCUCACUAACUAACAAACUAUAUUUAAAAUAUACAAUUUAUAUAUUUUUGUUUUAUUUUUCUUUUUUACACGCGAGUGUGUGCGCGCGCCAGAGUCGGAUGGAACAAGGAGGACAAUCCCACUUUUGUACCAUAUUCUCUCUCUCUUUCUCUCUCUCUCUCUCAGAGUUCUUGACAGCUCAACACUGCAGCCAACUAGAGAAACGUUUGUGAAGGUGGUGAAUGAGCUUUUCAGGGAUGGGACAUUUUCCUGGGGUAGAGUGGUGUUGCUGUUCUACCUAGCUGGUCGACUUGUGAUCAAGGAUCUUCACCUGGAUAUCACUCACAAACUUAGAUUCCUCUAUGUUCCGCAACCUGACCCUGAGCUUGGCUGUGGCUUCAGGACAGACGUCCAAGAGCAACUUGCUUUUACAAACAUUACGUUGUGUUACACUAGAUUAAAGUUUACAUUUUGGCAAACUGAACCCUUCCUUUUAAUCACACACACACAGAGUAAGCAAA